UACGGAGGGUGCAAACGUUGCUCGGAAUCAUUGGGCGUAAAGCGUGUGUAGGCGGCUUGUUAAGUCGGGUGUGAAAGCCCUGGGCUCAACCCAGGAAGUGCACUCGAAACUGGCGAGCUUGAGUACGGGAGAGGGUCGCGGAAUUCCCGGUGUAGAGGUGAAAUUCGUAGAUAUCGGGAGGAACACCAGUGGCGAAGGCGGCGACCUGGACCGAUACUGACACUGAGGAGCGAAAGCCAGGGGAGCAAACGGG
rnacentral:rRNA from 1 species